rnacentral:tRNA from 1 species
GCCUCCAUAGUCUAAUGGAUAGGAUAAAGGGCUUCUAAAUCUCUGGUCUAAGUUCAAUUCUUAUUGAACGCA